GAGACUUGAUCUCUUAGUGGCGCAGCUAACGCAAUAAGUAGACCGCCUGGGGAGUACGGUCGCAAGAUUAAAACUCAAAUGAAUUGACGGGGGCCCGCACAAGCGGUGGAGCAUGUGGUUUAAUUCGAUGCAACGCGAAGAACCUUACCAGGUCUUGACAUCCUACUAAGUGUCCAGAGAUGGAUUCGUGCCUUCGGGAAAGUAGUGACAGGUGCUGUAUGGCUGUCGUCAGCUCGUGUCGUGAGAUGUUGGGUUAAGUCCCGUAACGAGCGCAACCCUUGUCCUUAGUUGCCAGCACGUAAUGGUGGGAACUCUAAGGAGACUGCCGGUGACAAACCGGAGGAAGGUGGGGACGACGUCAAGUCAUCAUGGCCCUUACGACCUGGGCUACACACGUGCUACAAUGGCUGGUACAAACGGUCGCCAACCCGCGAGGGGGAGCUAAUCCGAGAAAACCAGUCGUAGUCCGGAUUGGAGUCUGCAACUCGACUCCAUGAAGUCGGAAUCGCUAGUAAUCGUAGAUCAGAAUGCUACGGUGAAUACGUUCCCGGGCCUUGUACACACCGCCCGUCACACCAUGGGAGUGGGUUGCAAAAGAAGUGGGUAGGCUAACCUUCGGGAGGCCGCUCACCACUUUGUGAUUCAUGACUGGGGUGAAGUCGUAACAAGGUAGCCG
rnacentral:rRNA from 1 species